UACGUAGGGGCCUAGCGUUGUCCGGAUUUAUUGGGCGUAAGAGCGUGUAGGCGGCCAGACAGGUCAGCUGUGAAAACUCGAGGCUCAACCUCGAGACGUCGGUUGAAACCGGUCUGGCUAGAGUCCGGGAAGAGGAGAGUGGAAUUCCCGGUGUAGCGGUGAAAUGCGCAGAUAUCGGGAAGAACACCCGUGGCGAAGGCGGCUCUCUGGGGACGGUACUGACGCUGAGACGCGGAAAGCGUGGG
rnacentral:rRNA from 1 species